rnacentral:lncRNA from 12 species
CCGCCCCUCCUGGCCUGGGGGAGGGGACGAGGGAGGUGAGGCCCCGCCCCUCCUGGCUGGGGGAGGGAGGUGGUAACCAGGUGACCCGCCCUGAUAGAGGAGCUGGAGCCUAGAGGACACGUCGGAGUCGGCCAGGAAGGGGAGGCGGGAGCUGGAGGCCGAGGGGACACCCCCCAUCUGAAACCAGACGCUUCCUCUGUGCUCCGUCACCUCCUCCACCCUCUUCACUCCUGCUUUUAACCACGCGGGGUAAGGUCUUCCCGUCGUGCCAUUCAGCAUCCCCCUGCCGUCUCGGCUCCCCCCACGUCCCCGAGUACCAGGCUAAUCUUCCUCCCACGGUUUGCCGCCAACACGCCUUUCCUCUGCUCCAGAACCCUCCAGAGCUCGCCCGCGCAGGGCCCGCCCUCCCCCCGCCUGCCGCCUGACCGCCCACGACCCCGCCCUUACUCCACCGUCUACCCGUCCUGUGUUUUCACACACACGGUCACACCGCAGACUUCAACUGAGCUCUCCCCUCUAUUUCCUGCCCACGGACACAGCUACCCACCCCAAACCCCAAUGCGCUCACCUACAGCUUGCCACAGUUUGCUUGUCCCGAAUUGAGAUUCUUCUGCUAUUCCCAAAUAAACUCAUCUUUUUAAGCUUGCCUCAGUUUACCUCUUUGUACACAGGAAGUAUCUGUCACUACAGUCAAUUCAGAAUGGGAGAGAAUGUCUGCCAUAUAAGAUGAUCCCAUUUUCCCAGUAGGAAUCUUCAGAGCUUCUGUGUUGUUAGCUUGCAUUUCUUCUGAGUGCUGGUGACCAUCUCUGGGAGCCAUAUGCAGUUCUUUGCUCUUGUUCAUCAUGUCGUUUGCUCAAUUUUCCAAUUGGGAUUGUUCAUCCUUAUUGAUUUUUAUGAGUUUUCCAUCUAUUUAGGAAAUUAACCUCUUGCUGUGAAAUGAAUCGCAGUCUUUUUCCCACUUUGAUAUCUGUUGUUUGUGGCCAUGGUGGUUCUGGUCAUCAAACUUUUUGUUGUGGAGUCAAAUGUACCAAUCUUUUCCUUUAUGGCUUUGGGGACUUGAGUGAUUAUUAGAAAACCUUUUUCUUCUUUUUAAAUGUAUAUUUCCAAUGAAUAAAGACAGAACGUCUUAGAAAAUAUGAGCA